UCCCUCUUGGUGUAGUGGUUAACACCUUUAUCUUCUGCUGGCAAAAUGUCAGGAGGUCUGGAGUUUGAAUCUCUGUGGUGGAU